rnacentral:rRNA from 1 species
UACAGAGGUCCCAAGCGUUGUUCGGAUUCACUGGGCGUAAAGGGUGCGUAGGUGGCGAGGUAAGUCGGAUGUGAAAGCUCGGAGCUCAACUCCGAAAUGGCAUUGGAAACUACCUUGCUCGAGGGUUGGAGGGGGGACUGGAAUGCUUGGUGUAGCAGUGAAAUGCGUAGAUAUCAAGCGGAACACCAGUGGCGAAGGCGGGUCUCUGGACAGUUCCUGACACUGAGACACGAAGGCCAGGGGAGCAAACGGG